CCGGCUCGGGUGCCGGCGGCGGUGGCGGUUCGGUGCCGCCGAUCCCGGACACGAGUUCGGCGUCCGGUGCGCCGGGC
rnacentral:tRNA from 1 species